AGUGGCGUACGGGUGAGUAACACGUGACUAACCUACCCUCGAGUGGGGAAUAACCUCGGGAAACCGGGGCUAAUACCGCAUAACAUCUACGGAUCAAAUGCGUAAGCAGCUUGAGGAGGGGGUCGCGGCUGAUUAGCUAGUUGGCGGGGUAACGGCCCACCAAGGCAAUGAUCAGUAGCCGGCCUGAGAGGGCGCACGGCCACACUGGAACUGAAACACGGUCCAGACUCCUACGGGAGGCAGCAGUGGGGAAUUUUGCGCAAUGGGGGAAACCCUGACGCAGCAACGCCGCGUGGAGGAUGAAGCCCCUUGGGGUGUAAACUCCUUUCGAUCGGGACGAUUAUGACGGUACCGGAUGAAGAAGCACCGGCUAACUCUGUGCCAGCAGCCGCGGUAAUACAGAGGGUGCAAGCGUUGUUCGGAAUUAUUGGGCGUAAAGGGUGCGUAGGCGGUGCGGUAAGUCUUCUGUGAAACCUCCGGGCUUAACUCGGAGCCUGCAGGGGA
rnacentral:rRNA from 1 species